AGCUUUAUAUUCAAUUAUGAUAUUAAAUUGCAAAUUUAGUGGUGUUAAUAAACUAAGGCUU
rnacentral:tRNA from 1 species